CGUAAAGCGCAUGCAGGCGGCCUGUUAAGUCAGAUGUGAAAGCCCGGGGCUUAACCUCGGAAUUGCAUUUGAAACUGGCAGGCUAGAGUCUUGUAGAGGGGGGUAGGAAGUUUCAGGUGUAGCGGUGAAAUGCGUAGAGAUCUGAAGGAAUACCAGUGGCGAAGGCGGCCCCCUGGACAAAGACUGACGCUCAGAUGCGAAAGCGUGGGGAGCAAACAGGAUUAGAUACCCUGGUAG
rnacentral:rRNA from 1 species